GAGGGUACAGCUCAGUGGUAGAGCACAUGCUUAGCAUGCAGGAGGCCCUGGGUUCAAUCCCCAGUACCUCCA
rnacentral:tRNA from 1 species